UUGUAAUAUCAUGCAUGGGUCACUUGGAAAAUAUUGAUUCACAGGUGCAAAUCACCCAGAUGUUGACACACUUCAUUACACCAUAUGUUUAAAAAUCACUUUUGUAAUAUCAGCAUUGAUCUCAUCAGAAAAGACUCCAAGUCUUGGCACGCCACUGUCAAGCUCCCAAGGAGCUUGUGGGGACCUCACUUGAAGAACUGCUGAUUUAGGAAUUGUUAGUUAACUGCUGACUGAGGUGACUGAGGCAGUUAGUUUCUGUUAUGAUUACCUUUUCUAACCAGGAGUGAGUUAAAGAAUACAAGGAUUGCAUAAUGUUCUGGCUGAGCGCUGAAGAACUGAUGCUUUUGAACUGUGGUGUUGGAGAAGACUCUUGAGAGUCCCUUGGACUGCAAGGAGAUCCAACCAGUCCAUUCUAGAGGAGAUCAGCCCUGGGUGUUCUUUGGAAGGAAUGAUGCUAAAGCUGAAACUCCAGUACUUUGGCCACCUCUUGCGAAGAGUUGACUCAUUGGAAAAGACUCUGAUGCUGGGAGGGAUUGGGGGCAGGAGGAGAAGGGGACGACAGAGGAUGAGAUGGCUGGAUGGCAUCACUGACUCGAUGGACGUGAGUCUGAGUGAAUUCUGGGAGUUGGUGAUGGACAGGGAGGCCUGGUGUGCUGUGAUUCUGGGGUUGCAAAGAGUCGGACACGAUUGAGUGACUGAACUGAACUGAAUGUUCUACUGUAUGUAUAUACCGCAUUUUGUUUAUUCAUUUGUUGAUGGACAUUUGGGUUGCUUCUACCUCUUGGCAAUAGUGAAUAGUGUUGCUGUGAACGUGGGUCUGCAAAUAUCUCUUCAGAACCCAGCUUUCAGUUCUUUGGGAUAUAUACCCAGAAGUAAAAUUGCUGCGUCACGUGGUAGUUCUAGUUUUAACUUUCUGAGGAACCUCCAUAAUGUUUCCAUAGCAAUUGCACCAUCUUUCAAUCUCCCCAAUAGUGUAAUAUGUUCAUUUUUCUUCUCAUCUUUGCCGACAUUUCUUUUUCUUUUUUUUCCCUCCUUUUUCCUUCUUCCUGCCUGCCUAUCUGCCAUCCUAAUCAGCAUGAGGUGAAAUAUCAUUGCAGAUUUGAUUUGCAUUUUCUGUACUGUUAGUGAAGUUAAUCAUCCUUUUAUAUUCCUGCUGGCUAUUGUAU
ensembl:lncRNA